GAUGAAGAACGCAGCGAAAUGCGAUAAGUAAUGUGAAUUGCAGAAUUCAGUGAAUCAUCGAAUCUUUGAACGCACAUUGCGCCCCUUGGUAUUCCGAGGGGCAUGCCUGUUCGAGCGUCAUUAUAACCCCUCAAGCUCAGCUUGGUGUUGGGGCCUGCUGCACUGGCAGCCCUUAAAAUCAGUGGCGGCGCCAUCUGGCUCUAAGCGUAGUAAUUCUUCUCGCUAUGGAGUCCUGGUGGAUGCUUUCCAUCAACCCCCAAUUUUUCUAUGGUUGACCUCGGAUCAGGUAGGGAUACCCGCUGAACUUAAGCAUAUCAAUAAGCGGAGGA
rnacentral:misc_RNA from 1 species